rnacentral:rRNA from 1 species
GACGAACGCUGGCGGCGUGCUUAACACAUGCAAGUCGAACGGAAAGGCCCUGCUCUUGUGGGGUGCUCGAGUGGCGAACGGGUGAGUAACACGUGAGUAACCUGCCCUUGACUUUGGGAUAACUUCAGGAAACUGGGGCUAAUACCGGAUAGGAGCUCUUGCUGCAUGGUGGGGGUUGGAAAGUUUCGGCGGUUGGGGAUGGACUCGCGGCUUAUCAGCUUGUUGGUGGGGUAGGGGCUUACCAAGGCUUUGACGGGUAGCCGGCCUGAGAGGGUGACCGGCCACAUGGGGCCUGCGAUACGGCCCAGUAUCCUACGGGAGGCAGCAGUGGGGAAUAUUGCACAAUGGGCGGACGCCUGAGGCAGCAGCGCCGCGUGCGGGAUGCCGUCCUUCGGGUUAUAAACCGCUUUCGCCUGUGACGAAGCGUGAUUGACGGUAAUGGGUAAAGAAGCACCGGCUAACUACGUG